UACGUAGGUGGCAAGCGUUUGUCCGGAAUUAUUGGGCGUAAAGCGCGCGCAGGUGGUUUCUUAAGUCUGAUGUGAAAGCCCACGGCUCAACCGUGGAGGGUCAUUGGAAACUGGGGAACUUGAGUGCAGAAGAGGAAAGUGGAAUUCCAAGUGUAGCGGUGAAAUGCGUAGAGAUUUGGAGGAACACCAGUGGCGAAGGCGACUUUCUGGUCUGUAACUGACACUGAGGCGCGAAAGCGUGGGAGCGAACAGG
rnacentral:rRNA from 1 species